GGAAUCAAUGGCCUUGGCUGUCGCUGGCCAGCCUUCGGUGACGAAGAUUGGUCAAGAUGAUACAACAUUAACAAAACCCACUUUUGCAAACAUUCUACAAUCAGCUACCAUUCCUAACAUGCAGCUUCCAUUGAAAGAAAUAUCCUAUUUGCAUGGAGAACCACAUAUUAUUUGGGAAGAAGAGAAGGUCAAUCAAAUGAUUAUUAAGGAAGAUCUACAAUAUGCAGUAAUUGACAAAUUCUCCUAUGGUUGGCCUAAUAUUCAAGAUCUACGACGCUUAAUCCCAAAGCAAUAUGAGUUGAAGGGAGAAGUCAAUAUUGAUCUAUUUAGUAAUCGACAUAUGUUAAUAAGAGCAACGAAGAUUGAGGAUUAUGUACACCUCUUAUCCAAACCCCAAUUCUAUAUUACAAAGAAUUAUUGGUCAUAUCUGAUGCAAACUUUGAAAUGGGAUCCAAUGUUCAACCCUGAGGAAGAAACCACUACUGCAGUGGCAUGGCUAUCAUUUCCAUCUCUAUCACCGAAUUUUUUUACAAGAGAGGCAAUCUUUUCUUCGACAGCUACUGUUGGGAAGCCUUUAUAGGUAGAUCUAGCUACACAGAACAAGACUAGACCAAGUUGCGCAAGAGUGAAGGUGAAAGUUGAUCUGCUAGGAGAAUUUCCUGAAAGGAUUACUAGUGGGAUGAGAAAGAAAACCAGAGAAGUUGUAGAGAAGUGGAUUCAUAUCAAAUAUGAUUAUGUGCCCAAGUACUGUAAGGAAUGCAAAUUACAAGGACAUAAUGAGAACGAAUGUUUUGUCAUUUAUCUUGAAUUAUAUCCAAAGAAGGACAAUUAAGAGGGGGAAGAACACGAUACUAUGAAAUCAUAGAAGGGUGAUUAGAAGAAUAAGGAAAAGGUGGCAGACAACAGUAAAGGCAAAGACACGAAAACACAAGAAUUUCAUAAACAAAAGAGAAAAUAGUUGAAAAGAAGAUGGAACAAUAGAAAGAGGUAAGAAAGAAGACGGAACCAGAAAGAAAACACUUCAAAAGAGGUGGAUGUUUCAGUAAAUAAUAAAUUUGAUGCUUUGGAAGAGAAAGAUGUUGAUGAUGACAGAGAUAUCAACAGACCAGAAUGAUGGAAAAAAUGACAAAGUACUUAACAUUUAGGAAGAACAACGCACAACCAGUAAGGAUGGUAAAAAAGGACAGAUACAAGAAGAGUCACAAAGCUUGGUUAAAGAUCAGGAAAAAGACAAUGUUGAACAGCGGACAGGUGAUUCGGCUAGAAUUCAAGAUGCAGAAGAGAUUGCUGAUGUGGAUUGUAAAGAUCAUGAUGUAGAAGUGGCAGACAAUGAAUUGCAGAUCAUAGCUGAGUUUGAAGAUGAGGUUCUUAAAAUAACACAGAAAGAGAAACAACAGAAACAUGAUCACGAAGAAGAUGUAGAUAUGGAUGCUAACAUUGAACAAAUAGGGAGGGAUAGAGAUUUAUCUCUAAUACAAAUUAGUCAGUUGAAAGGGAAGAACAGAAAAGUUUAUAAGAAAACUGGUAACAAGUCACAAAUCAAUACAAGGAGUAAGUCGGGUCUUGUUAAAACUCAAAGUUCAUUUGAGAGAUUAAUAAAUCUUCAUAAAAAAUACCAUUAUUCUUACAUUGCAUUAUUAGAAUCUUUUCAAAGUCCAUCAGAGUUGGAGGAGUACAGAAGCAGGCCAGGGCUUACACAUGCUAAAGUAAAUUGUUCUGAUAAGAUCUGGAUCUUUUGAAAAAUAAUUGGGAAGAAAUUGGUACCAUAGAUUCUACACAACAUUUAAAAAUGGAGUAUAAACUUAGAGGACCAACUAAUUCUUUUAAAGUAACUGUAGUGUAUGCAAGAUACAGUCACUUAAAGAGAUUAGAGUGGUGAUCUUGGGCAUAUUUAUAUGCUCAAAUCACCAAUAUGCACACAUAUUUAGACUUAGUUCAAGAACUUUUGUAUGAAUUCUUAAGUAUAAUUUAGCCUUUAUUCCGUUUCGUGCCUAAUGGAUAUGAUUAGUACUUUCAGGUAAAAAAUUAUUGAAGAAUUGUGCGCAUUUGGAUACAACGAUGAUAUGGAAGGAUUGAAGAAAUGUAAGGGAGUGAAAUAAAGGUAAAAUACGGAAGAUGGAAAGUAAGAAUCCUCAUUUGAAGACACUCCACGUCGUGUUGACCAACAAAAUAGCAAUGGUCAAAUUCCAGUGAAGGUCCGCAAAACCACCGCAUCCCAGAGUAGUUCCACUUAUCAUAUUUUGCGACCUAAAAGUUUAGCACAUCGCGAAGGAUGAAUAUUUUACAAUUUUCCCAAUCCAGUGGCUCACCGCGAUAGUGGUGCGUUGCGGUGAGGAUACAUUUUACAAUUGUCAAGGAAUACUUGAGCUCCGCGAUUGCCUAGAUUUUAAUGAAAAAUAGCAAUUGAAGGCAUGGCCUGACGCGUCGGGUGGAAGAAUUGGGAAUAUUUUAAGUGUUUUGUCCCAUCUAUAAAAGGAAAAAUUCAAGAUAAUUUUGGGGACGUUUGGUGAAGCAUAGGAGCGGCGGAAAAGCAGAAAUUUCUCUCUUUUAGGGUUCUUAAAUAUUUUUUUAAAUUUCUUUACUGGAAGACUUGUUGGGGGUAUGAUUUAUUACUUAUUUUGGAUGAUGAAUUCAAACAUGAGUAGCUAAAAACCCUAUUUCUGGGGUUGAGGCUAAGAACAUGAUUACUCUUUAAUAUUCUUAUUCAUAGUUUCUUUUUGGAUUAUCAUCUGGGUUGUUCUUAAUUUCUUGAGCUUACUAUUUUAAUAAUUGGCCAUCAUUAGAAUAAAUCUAUAUUUCUAUAUGCAUCCGGGAGGAGAAUCAUAGGAUAGAACGAAGAAAUUAGGGAGCAAGGCUCUUAUUCUUUUAUGAAAUAAAGGAUUUGAAUUAGCAUCUAGGAUAGGGAUAUACCUAGAAGCCUUGCUUGGUUCACUUGCAAGAAGACAACAUAAAUCUAGAAGAAUUGUUGUAUCUCUGCCGGAGUUGUAGCUACAACAUUCAAUAGAUAAAAGAUUUGAGGUUGGGAGAUCAUGAUCGUUGCAUAAACCUUGCGAAUCAUCAACCUGAUAACCAAUUAGAAUGUGAUGAGAAUAGAGAAUUGUAUGAUUGUUCAAAAUACCUCAACCCUGGAAUCAUCUUCAUUAUUGAUUACAACCGUUGCUUUCUUUGCUCUAGUCGAUACUAAUUAUUUCUUGUUUAGUAAUUUACAUUUUAUUUAUAGAAUUAAAACCAUCUUGAUACCAUUAAGCACUUAAUACCUAAUUGUCUUAAACUAAAGAUUAAAUAAAUUUCUAGUUUAUUGAUCCUCGUGGGAACGAUAUUUGACUGUCUAAGUCAUUAUAUGACUUGUACGAUCGCGUACACUUGCGUGUGCAUAGAGACGCAACAAGUUUUUAGCGCCAUUGCCGGGGAUCAAAUUGAAUUAGUAAAUUGUUUAAUUUUUUUUUGAUAAUAACUUUAAGUAUUAACAACUUGAUCUUAGUGGUUGAAUUUUUGCAGGUUUAGCUGAACAUUGGACUGGCUAGGGAUAACGAGUUAGUAUAGCCCUUUGCAGAACCAGAAGUAAUUUUCAUCAAAGGCGAAGAGCUCAAUACUACAUUCAAUAGGGAUAGAUGGCUAAAAUACGAGAUCCUAUUAUUGGAAAUGUUCCAGCUCCUGUUAUUCCAGUUAUUCCUAUUCAACCAGUCACAAGACCUGUUCUUGAGGAGACAAUCCCACUUACAAAUCUCGUGACUAACAGCAUUCAGAAGCCUAAAAAAGAAGGUCGGUGGGAAUUGAAACAAAAAAUGGUGCAAUUAUUAAAAUCGACGGGGGAAUUUCACGGACUUUCACACGAGGAUCCACAACAGCACUUACAGACCUUCUUGGAAAUAAGCGAUACAUAUAUUCCUGAAGAUGUGAAUGUUGAUUAUAUCAAAUUGACAUUCUUUCCCUUUUCUCUAAUGGGGGAAGCAAAGAGAUGGUUACAUGCUGAACCACAUCAAUCCAUCACUUCAUGGGAAGAUUAUGCUCGGAGGUUCCUCAUUCAGUUUUUUCCAUCCCAGAAGAAUGCAUGAUUGAGGAGUGAGAUAUUGAGUUUCAGACAAAAAGAUGGAGAAAAUCUCUACCAAGCUUGGGAGAGAUUCAAGGGCAUGCUCAGAAAUUAUCCUCAUCACCAUCAAUCGAAUGAUUUUUUGGUUCACACAUUUAUAGAAAGCCUUGAGUCUAAUACAAAGAUCCUCUUGGAUUCAGCAGCAGAGGGCCAAGAUUUGGAGAAAAUAUAUGAAAACUGUAUACCUUGCUAAAUUGAAUUGUACAAGGGAAUCCUGAUUGGCAUGCAGACUCAAGGAGUGUUCCCAAGAAGGUUGCAGGGGUUUUGGAGGUUGAUCAGUUCACUGCAUUACAAGCACAGAUUGCAGCAAUGCAGAAUAAUAUGACUACUCAGCUUAACAACUUGAAGUUAGGUGCAACACAACCAGUUGCCACAGUAAAUACAGUUCAAUAGGAAUAUUCAUGGUGUGAAGUUUAUGGAAGUGAAGAGCAUAAAACAGAUGCAUGUUCUGUUAAUCCAGAUUCAGUCAACUAUGUGGGGAAUGCAAACCGCCAGGUUCAAUAGAAUUUUGGCAGUACGUAUAAUCCAAAUUGGAGGAACCACCCUAAUUUCUCAUGGGGUGGAAAUCAGGCACAGAAUACAAAUCAGUAUAAGGGACCAGUACAAUCAAAUCCAUAAUCAGUUCAGAAUAAUCAGGCGACUACUCAUUAUAGUAAUGUGGAGGAGUUGAUUAAAUAGUUUAUGGCUCAACAAGCAUAGGUUGCGGUAGACAUAAAGGAUCAACAGGCACAGUUUGCAGCUGAGUUGAAGAGUCAACAAUUGCUCACAAAAAAUCUGGAGUUGCAGUUGGCUCAAAUUGUAAGAUCACAAAAUAAAAGGCCACUAGGAGUAUUGCCUAGCGAUACUGAGGCUAAUCCUAAACAGGUGAAUGUAGUUAUAACAAGGAGUGGACAUAAAACUAAGGAGACGGUUCAGGAGUAGGAUAAUCCUGCAGUCAUUGUUGACAGUUUGCGAGAGAAUGCAGAAGUAGAAGUCAAGGAAAAAGAGGUAGGUGAAGAGAUUUGUGUGGAGAAGAAGACUAUCCCCUUACCCUUUCCUCAAAGGGCAAGGAAGCAUCAAGAGGAAUCCAGUUUUAAGAAGUUUCUAGAUCUUCUGAAACAAGUUCAAGUAAACCUUCCUCUUGUUGACAUUCUGCAGAGUGUGCCGAAAGAUGCUAAAUACUUGAAGGAUAUUAUUGUACAUAAGAAUCGGUUGACUGAAUAUGCUACAGUUGCACUUACUCAAGAGUGCACAUCUAAAAUUCAAAAUAAACUGCCCACGAAGUUGAAGGAUCCAGGUAGUUUCACCUUGCAGAUUACCCUUGGUCAGACUAUUUGUGCACAUGGAUUGUGUGACUUGGGUGCUAGCAUAAAUCUCAUGCCCACUUCAUGAUACUGGAAGAUGGGUCUUGGGAGUCCCAAACCCACGACUAUUGUGUUGCAGUUGGCAGAUAGUUCACUUGUUAGACCAGAUGGUAUUAUUGAAGAUGUAUUGGUGCAAGUGGGAUCUUUAAUCUUUCCGGUGGAUUUUGUGAUUCUUAACUUUGAGGCUGAUCUAGUUGUUCCAUUUAUUUUGGGACGACCCUUCUUAGCAAUAGGACAGUCACUUAUUGAUAUGGUAGCUAGAAAAUGACAAUGCGAGCUCACGAUAAAGUAGAGGUUUUUGAUGUGUACAGAGCAUUGAAACUACUAGCCAUAUAUGAGGAGUUGUCUUCUAUAUCGAUUGUUGAUCUUGCUCUGGAUUGGUAGCUGCUUUUGUCUGAUGAUCCAUUAGAGCGAACUUUGAUGGAUUAUGAUCUGUAUGAAGAUGUGGAAGCAUUGGAAUUGGUCCAGGUUAUAAAUUUGGCUAUAAUCGAGACAAACAAAGUAUUGAUUGAGCCUUUGAAUAUACCAAUUGGUCCACCACGCUCUUAACUUGGAGCUUAAGGUUCUUCCUCCUCACUUGCAAUAUUUUUUUCUUGGUGAUCAAGAUACCUUACCUGUUAUUUUAUCUAUAGGAUUAUCAGAUGUACAAGUAAAGAAAGCUGUAGCGGUUCUCAAGAGGAGAAGAAAGGCGAUUGGCUGGCAGAUGUCUGACAUUUUAGGAAUCAAUCCAGCAUUUUGCAAGCAUAAUAUUUACAUAGAAGAGGGGUACAGACCUAGAGUACAGCAACAACGAAGGUUGAAUCCUGUGAUGAAGGAAGUGAUCAGGAAAGAAGUUAUCAAGUGGUUAAAUAGUGGUAUUGUUUAUCUAAUUUCCGAUAGCAAAUGGGUGAGUUCGGUGCACUGUGUACCCAAGAAAGAAGGAAUGGCAGUAGUGACCAAUGAUGAUAAUGAGUUAUUUCCCAUAUAUACAGUGACCGGUUGGAGAAUAUGUAUAGAUUAUCAGAUGUUGAAUAAAGCAACUCGUAAAGAUCACUAUUCAUUUCCCUUCAUUGAUCAAAUGCUGGAUAGAUUGGCGGGGCAAGAGUAUUAUUGUUUUCUGGAUGGGUACUCUGUCUACAAUCAGAUAAGCAUAGCAUCGGAAGACUAAGAGAAGACCACGGUCACUUGUCCAUACGGUACAUAUGCGUUCAGACGCAUGCCCUUCGGCUUAUGUAAUGCACCUGCUAUAUUUUAGAGGUGUGUGAUGACGAUAUUUUUAGACAUGGUGGAAGAAUUUGUGGAGGUAUUCAUGGAUGAUUUCUCUGUGUAUGGUAAUUCAUUUAAAAAGUUUUUGCAAAAUCUCGACAAAGUUCUAGCUCGAUGCGAAGAAACAAACUUGAUGUUGAAUUCAAAAAAGUGCCAUUUUAUGGUUGAGGAAAGAAUUUUCUUAGGCCACAAAGUGUCAUGCAAAGGUAUGGAAGUGGACAAAGCAAAGGUGGAAGUGAUUGAAAAGUUUCCUCAUCCAGUCACAGCCAAGGGAGUGCGGAGUUUUUUGGGACAUGCUGGGUUCUAUAGACAAUUCAUUCAAGAUUUCUCAAAGAUUGCAAGUCCCAUGUACAAAAUAUUAGAAAAAGAAGCCAAGUUCGAGUUCGCGGCUAAUUUCCAUGAAGCUUUUGAAAAGCUUAAGAAGAAGUUGACGGAAGCACCUAUUUUGAUCACACCAGAUUGGGAGUUACCUUUUGAGCUGAUGUGUGACGCUAGUGACAUUACAGUGGGAGCAGUGUUAGGUCAGAGAAAAGAGAAGGUAUUUUGAUCGAUCUACUAUGGUAGCAAGGUGCUGAAUGAUGCUCAAGUUAACUACACAGUUACAGAGAAAGACAUAUUGGAUGUGGUAUAUGCAUUCAACAAGUUUCGAUCUUACUUAGUUGGUACCAAGGUCAUUGUUCAUACAGACCAUGCUUCCGUUAAGUAUCUUGUGAACAAAAAGGAUGCAAAUCCACGACUAAUUAGGUGGAUUCUUCUACUUCAAGAAUUUGAUCUUGAGGUGCGAGAUAGAAAGAGAGCUGAAAAUCAAGUUGCUGAUCAUUUGUCAUGGCUGGAAAAUCGAGACCAUAUUGUGGAUGACUUUCUGAGUAUUAAGGAAGAUUUUUCUGCUGAGAAGUUAUUGUCAUUAGAUGCAGUUGUGUUCCCAUGGUAUGCUAACAUUGUGAACUUGAUAGCUUGUGAGGUGUACCCUCCCGAAAUCACCAUACAACAAAGAAAGAAAUUACUCCAUGAUUAUCGUGCUUACAUUUGGGAUGAACAGUACCUUUUCAAGCAGGGUCCAGAUGGAGUGAUUUGUAGGUAUAUUUCAGAGGCUGAAUUCUCAAAGGUUUUACAAGAUUGCCACUCAUCUCCAUAUGGUGGACAUUAUGGGGGAGAGAGGACUGCAAGAAAAGUGUUGCAAUCAGGUUUUUUCUGGAUGACUCUAUUUAGAGAUGCAGUGGCUUUUGUAAAGAAUUAUGAUCAAUGUCAAAGGUUGGGUACUAUAUCUAGGCUUCAUGAGAUGCCCCUCAAUAAUAUUGUAGAAGUAGAAGUCUUUGAUGUUUGGGGGAUCGAUUUCAUGGUCCCAUUCCCACCUUCGAAAGGUAAUCUAUACAUUAUUAUAGCGGUUUAAUAUGUCUCUAAAUCGGUGAAAGCUAUGGCGAGUCCGACUAAUGAUGCAAGAGUGGUGCUGAAGUUUUUGAAGAACAUAUUUUCCAGAUUUGGUACGCCAAGAGCAAUAAUUAGUGAUGGAGGUACGCACUUUAUCAAUACCUGGUUCAAAAAUCUUCUUGCUAAGUAUGGUGUUAGGCACAAGGUUGACACUGUGUACCAUCCUCAAACGAGUGAACAAGUAGAGGUAUCCAAUCGGGAGAUUAAGCAAAUACUUCAGAAAACCGUGAAUGGUCAGAGAAAAGGUUAGGCGGAGAAGCUAGAUGAUACAUUUUGGGCAUAUAGAACAGCGUACAAGACGCCUAUUGGGACAUCUCUAUAUCGCUUGGUGUAUGGUAAGGUGUGUCAUCUUUCAGUAGAGUUGGAACACUAAGCAUAUUGGGAACACCAAGCAUAUUGGGAGGUGAAGAAGCUGAACUUUGAGAUGACUGUUGCGGGGGAAAGAAGGUUAUUGCAACUGAAUAAGCUUGAGGAGUUUAGACUCCACGCCUAUGAAAAUACCAAGCUUUACAAGGAAAAGACCAAAAGAUGGCAUGACAAGCAAAUUCAAGUUAGGGAAUUUGAACCUGGACAACUUGUGUUGUUGUUUAAUUCACGGCUUAAGUUGUUUCCGGGUAAAUUACGAAUGAAGUGGUCUAGACCUUUUGAAGUGGAGCGUAUGACACCCCAUGGAGCUGUGGAGUUAUGGAAUAAAUAGAAGACAGAGAAGUUCCUUGUGAAUAGACAGCGUGUAAAGCAUUAUUGGGCAGAUCAUCCGGAUAAGCACAAGGAAUCCAUCACUUUUGCUGAUGAAUGACGAUGAGCUAAGUCGUGCCACAACGUAAAAUAAGGCGCUAUGUUGGAGGCAACCCGCACAUGUAUUGUAAUAGGUAGUUUAUUUUUUAGAUUGUAAAAUCAAAACGAAAAGAAAAAUACAAAAAGAUGAGUUGUGCCACGACCAAAACUAAGGUGCUGAGUGGAAGGCAACCCACUUUUACUUACAAUUUUUGUUGUUUUUGUUUAAGAUUGCAGGGAAUUUCAAAGUGAAAAUGAGGAUAUUGCUACAAUUGAGGAAAGCAAUCAGGUUUGCAAAAUAAUAUGUUUAAGUGGGAAUUUUCUCAGGUAAGAAAAAAAUGAAAAUUACAAAAGAAAAUCUAAUUUUGAAGAAUGGCACAACGCGGAACUGGGUAUUUUGAGAAUUGUCAAAUUCCAGGAAGGAUCUGCGAUUUCCAUCGCGAUGCGAAGAAGGGUAAUUUGACAAUUGUCAAAUUCCACUAGCCUGUCGCGAUUUUCAGCGCGAUGCGUAACUUGGAAAAUUGACAAUUGUCAAUUUACAAUGUCUUAACGUGAAAGUUAGCGCAUCGCGGUAGGUAGUUAAAUGGCAAUUGGCAUUUUCCAGUAGGUCUACACGAUACUACCGCAUCGUGGAGGGGGUUAAAUCGAAAAUAAAUUUUGAAUUUAAGCUAACCCGACCCGACCCUCCAUAAAUAUCCCCUCAAAACCCUAAACCCUCUUAUUUCCCCCUCAAGCGCCGGAUUCUCAACCUUUCUCCUAAAACCUUCUAAAAUUUUCCCAAAUUCUCAUCCCUUUUUCAACCUUUAAGGAAUAAUGGAACCACAACCAAGCAAGGGGAAGGCAAAGGCAAUUAGUGGAGUAGUUGAUCCUUCACCUAAACAUCCGACUAUUAGUGGAGUAGGACACUAAGGGCAAGCUUAUGGUUUUUUUACUAGCAUGUACGAAUUCUUUGUUGAGAGCGAGUGAUUUGAUGUUGAUACUCUUCUAUUUUUGCAUAGAUAUCAGUGUGAGUUAAUAUGGGGAAAUUUUCUUGAGUGGGGAUGUAGGCAGAUGAAAGCCGGGUUACUUAUUGAGUUUCUUUGAUUGAGUUUGCCGACAUGUUAGAAAUUCAUUAUUGAGACAAAAAAAAAUUGUACUAAAUUGUCUCAUAUUGCUAAAAAUUAUUUUGACAAGAUGAUGUAAGAAUACACUAGUACAAAGUGUAAGUACCCAUUGCAACAUAACUUUGAGAUUGUGAUGUAAAGAGGAAGUAAUAAUGUUUUUGAAUUCAUAUGUUCAAGGACGAAUAAGGUUUUAAGUGUGGGGUGGUGAUCUUGGGCAUAUUUGUAUGCUCAAAGCACCAAUAUGAACCAAGAUUUAGACUUAGUUCAAGAACUUUUGUAUGAAUUCUUAAGUAUAAUUCAGCCUUUAUUCUGUUUCGUGCCUAAUGGAUAUGAUUAGUACUUUCAGGUAAAAAAUCAUUGAAGAAUUGUGUGCAUUUGGAUACAACGAUGAUAUGGAAGGAUUGAAGGAAUGCAAGGGAGUGAAAUAAAGCUAAAAUACAGAAGCUAGAAAGUAGGAAUCCUCAUUUGAAGACACACCGCGUCGCGCUGACCAACAAAAUAGCAAUGGUCAAAUUCCAGUGAAGGUCCGCAAAACCACCGCGUCCCAGAGCAGUUCCACUUAUCAUAUUUUGCGACCUGAAAGUUUAGCACGUUGGAGGAUGAACAUUUCACAAUUGACCCAAUCCAGUGGCUCACCGAGAUAGUGGUGCGUUGCGGUGAGGGUACAUUUUACAAUUGUCAAGGAAUAAUUGAGCUCCACGAUUUUCUAGAUUUUAAUGAAAAAUAGCAAUUGAAGGCAUGGAGCGACGCACCGGGAGGAAGAAUCGGGAAUAUUUUAAGUGUUUUGUCCCAUCUAUAAAAGGAAAAAUCCAAGAUAAUUUUGGGGACAUUUGGUGAAGCAUAGGAGCGGCGGAAAAGCAGAAAUUUCUCUCUUUUAGGGUUCUAAAACAUUUUUUUUAAAUUUCUUUACUGGAAGACUUAUUGGGGGUAUGAUGUAUUACUUAUUUUGGAUGAUGAAUUCAAACAUGAGUAGCUAAACACCCUAUUUCUGGGGUUGAGGCUAAGAAGAUGAUUACUCUUUAAUAUUCCUAUUCAUAGUUUCUUUUUGGAUUAUCAUCUUGGGUUGUUCUUAAUUUCUUGAGCUUACUAUUUUAAUAAUUGACCAUCAUUAGAAUAAAUCUAUAUUUCUAUAUGCAUCCGGGAGGAGAAUCAUAGGAUAGAACGAAGAAAUCAGGGAGCAAGGUUCUUAUUCUUUUAUGAAAUAAAGGAUUUGAAUUAGCAUCUAGGAUAGGGAUAUACCUAGAAGCCUUGCUUGGUUCACUUGCAAGAAGACAACAUAAAUCUAGAAGAAUUGUUGUAUCUCUGCGGGAGUUGUAGCUACAACAUUCAAUAGAUAAAAGAUUUGAGGUCGGAAGACCAAGAUCAUUGCAUAAACCUUGCGAAUCAUCAACCCGAUAACCAAUUAGAAUGUGAUAAGAAUAGAGAAUUGUAUGAUUGUUCGAAAUACCUCAACACUGGAAUCAUCUUCAUUAUUGAUUACAACGGUUGCUUUCUUUGCUUUAGUCGUUACUAAUUAUUUCUUGUUUAGUAAUUUAUAUUUCAUUUAUAGAAUUAAAACCAUCUUGAUACCCUUAAGCACUUAAUACCCAAUUGUCUUAAACUAAAGAUUAAAUAAAUUUCUAGUUUAUUGAUCCUCGUGGGAACGAUAUCUAACUGUCUAAGUCAUUAUAUGACUUGCACGAUCGCGUACACUUGCGUGUGCAUAGAGACACAACAUUAUGGGAAGAUUUGGAGCAAGUUGCCUCUAAUACUAGUAAUCCAUGGCUUGUUGGGGGUGAUUUUAAUGUUAUUUUGGAUGAUUCUGAAAAACUUAGAGGUCUUCCGGUGACACAACAGGAGACUCUUGAUUUUGCUCAAUGUAUGAAUAAUUGUGUAUUGAACGAAUUAAGAUUCACACGAAGCAGAUUCACUUGGUGGAAUGGAAUAAUUCAAGAGGAUUGCAUUUUUAAGAGGUUAGAUAGGUAAUUAUGAACUUUUACAGGCUAUGCCUAAUUGUGAAGUGAAUCAUCUUAUCAGGCAAGGUUCUGAUCAUGCACCACUUCAUGUCAUUGGAAAUACUGUACAGGUACAUGUCAAAAAAAAAAAUUUAGGUUCUUGAACUUGUGGACCAAGCAUAAAUAUUUUCAGGGAAUAGUGCAACAAACUUAGAGUGAAAAUUUUCAAGGGUCGCCUUUCCAAAUAGUGCAUGAGAAAUUGAAAAAGAAGAAAUCAGUAUUUGUUGUCUAGAGUAGGGAGACUUUUGGGGGUAUUUUCCAAAAGGUAGAAACUUUGGAGGAUGUAAUAAAAUCAAAGGAAGCAUAAUUUGAGAUACAACCAACUGCAGAAAAUAGAGAGAAGUUGAGUAAAGCAGAGGCAGAUUUAAAAAGAUUGAGGAAAAUAAAGAAAGAGUUUUGGAAACAAAAGACAGGGAUAAAGUGGUUUACUGAUGGGGAUAGAAAUACUAAAUUCUUUCAUUCUUAUGUGAAAGGUAGAAGGAGAAGGCUGCAAGUUACAGAAAUCCAGACAAGACAGAAGGAUAUUAUCAUAUCACCACAGAACAUUGGGGAUGAGGCCAUACAGGUCUUCAUGGAGCAAUUUAAAAAGAACUACGUGACUAAUAAAUAUGAGAUGAUAGGGUGUAUUAACAAAAGUAUUAUAGAUGAGAAAAACAAUAGAAUGGAAAGCUUACCAAACAUAGAGGAAAUUAAGAAGGUUGUUUUUUCUUUAAAUGGGGAAAGUGCGGGAGGAAAAGAUGGUUUUUUAGGGAAUUUUUUUCAGUCUUGCUAGAAUACAGUGGGGGAGUAUAUUACAAAUAUGGUUAAGGCAUUUUUUUAUGGAAGUGAGUUACCAAGGUACAUCACUCACACAAAUCUAGUUCUGAUUCCAGAGAAAGAAGUAGUGAGUACUUCUGGUGAUCUCAGACCUAUCAGUCUUGACACUUUUGUUAAUAAAAUCAUAUCCAAAUUGAUUCAUAUGAGAAUUGUGGAGGUGCUUCCUAAUAUUAUUUCUAGUAAUCAGGCUGUUUUUGUUAAGAGAAGAAGCAUAAAAAAAAAUGUUUUGCUAGCUCAAGAGAUUAUUAGGGAUAUAAAUAGAAAGAAUAAACUACACAAUGUGGUGGUAAGAUUGGGUAUGGCAAAGGCUUAUGAUAGAGUUUUCUGAAAGUACUUGGUAGAGAUAUUGAGAAAAUUUGAUUUUUCUGAAAGGAUAAUUGACAUGGUAGUCAGAAUUAUUAGUAAUAAUUGGAAUUCAGUGCUUUUGAAUGGCCAGUCCUAUGGUUUCUUUUAGUCCUCAGGAGGGUUAAAGCAAGGGGAUACUCUAUCACUUAUGUUGUUUAUUAUUUUAGCUGAAGUGUUAGCAAGAAGUCUAAAUGGCUUGUUUGAGGAUCCAUAUUUUAUAGGAUAUGGAAUGCCUAAGUGGAGUCCUGAUAUUAACCAUUUAUCAUAUGCAAAUGACACUAUUCUCUUUUGCUCUGGACAUGCAACAUUAAUGAAGAAAAUGAUGGCAGGUUUGAGAAGAUAUGAAUUUACCUCAGGUCAAAUGAUUAAUCUUGAUAAAAGUUUUUUUUAUUUGCAUGAUAAGACUCCAAUAAAUAUGGCCAACAAUAUGAAGAGAAUAACUAAGAUAAAUCAAGGUAAGUUUCCUUUCACUUACUUGGGUUGUCCUAUUUUCUAUGGUAGAAAGAAUAAGGCACAUUAUGAGGAGUUAAUGAAGAAGGUGAUGAAGAGGUUAAAUUCUUGACAAAAUAGACUUUUGUCUUAUGGGGGAAGGUGCACUCUUAUUGCACAUAUGUUGCAGUCUAUGCCCAUGUAUAUUUUAUCUACUAUGAACCCUCCUGUAAGUGUAAUUAAUCAAUUACACAAGAUUUUUGCCAAGUUUUUUUUGACGUAAUGCUACUAGAUAAAAAACUAAGCAUUGGGAGUCUUGGGAUCUAAUGUGUUAUCCAAAAAUGAGGGGGGUUUGAAUUUUAGAUCUUUACAUGUGAUAUGUCCAAGGCACUUUACAAAAAUGUGGUGGAAUUUUAGAACUUUCACAUCUUCUAUGUGGAGUUCAUUUAUGUGGAAUAAAUACUGCAUAAAGUUCCAGCCUUUACUGACUAAGGGAAUUGAAGAAUCACAUGUUUGGAGGAAAAUAAUUGCUAUAAGAGAAGAGGUUGAUCAUCUCAUUUGGUGGCAGGUUACAGUUGGGAACUCAAAUUUUUGGUAUGAUAAUUAGACCAACCAUGGUGCUUUAUAUUAUGUGGAAGGAGAGAUUUUUCAAGAUGAAGAAAUAGAGGUGAAGCCCUUUAUCAGAAAUGGAGAGUGGGAUAGGCAAAGGUUAUUAUCAAUGUUAUCGGAAUAGAUGGUGGAGCUAAUUCUUUAGAUAGUAAAGCCUAAGGUUGAAGGGUAUCAUAAUGAUAGACCAUGGUGGAUGGGAAAUACAAAUGAUCAAUUUUUGGUGAAAUCUACCUGGGAGAUAAUCAAGAAAAAAAAAAGAGAAAAGAAGAGAUUUUGAUUAUAUUUGAAAUAAAGGUCUACCUUUCAAAUAUAAUUUCUUCUUAUGGAGAGUAUGGCUUAGAUGGAUCCCUACGGAUGAUAAUUUGAUAAAAAUGAGGAUUUAUUUGGUAUCAAGAUGCUAGUAUUGUGAGGACAAAAAGGAGGAAAUUAUGUCACAUAUUUUAAUAACAGCUCCCAUAGCUUUAAAGUUGUGAAGGCAGUUUGCUUAUUUUGCAAGGACCAGGGUGGACAAUGUACAACUUCAACAGAUGAUUGUGUCAUGGUGGACAAAGGAAUCAACACUAAAACUCAACAGCAUCUGUAAAGCCGUACCAUCCAUAAUCAUGUAGACCUUAUGGAAAAGGAGAAAUUCUCUUUAAAAUGGAGGGUUCAUUUCUUGUAAGGAGAUGAUAAUACAGAUACAAGAAGUGAUAAAGAAACUGACCAAGAAUCUUUAUCCUUGGAUAAAACUCUAGAACUGGACAUGGCCAGAGGUGAUGGACACUAUGAGCACAUACAAACCACAACUUCAUUAUCAUCAAGUGGUAUGAAAAAAGCCUAAGCAUUUACAACUAAAAUACAAUACGGAUGGAGCAUGUAGAGGAAAUUCGGGGAUGAGCUCAUAUGAUUUUUACAUCAGAGAUGAAAGAGGAGACCUGGUAUAUGCAAGAGCUAAGGGAUUGGGACUUGAAAAAAAUACAGAAGAUGAAUCUAUUGCUAUUAAGGAAGCCAUAGAAUACUGCCAUGACAAACUUUAUACAAAGUUCAUCAUAGAGACAGAUUCUCUAAGUCUUAAGCAAGCGAUUCUAAGGUAAUGGAAAAUUCCUUGGGAACUUAUUGGUGCCAUUGAGGAUAUUAGGAUUCUACUUCAGCAAUUACAAGCUACUGUUGCUCAUAUACUUAGAGAAGGCAACUCAGUGGCUGACUCUUUGGCAAAUGAAGUAAUAGAGACACAAGACAUGCAAGAAUACCACUCAUACCAACAGCUAACAGUGAAAACCAGGCGGCUUCUAAACAUUGACAAGGAUCAAAUUCCACAUAUCAGGAUCAGGACAAGGACAAUAGUUUAGCAAUAAUCAACAUAGUAGCAUGCAUAUGUAAAAAUCUAACAGAGUGCAACAGGUAGCAACAAUAACAGAGGAAAUUAAAGAGCAAAGAAAAAAGGGUUUAACAGUAUGCCUGGAAGAUCACCAAAAGGGAGGGAUAGGGAGAUGGUCCAGCAUCUGGAAAGAUGGUCUUUUGUGGACCCAAGACCACCUAACGAAAAACGAAAGGAAGAUUUUAGUUUUGAAAACAUAGAAGAAGAUCUUACAAAUGCAACAUUUCUCACCUGAGAAGAGUGAAGCUGAUAUUAAGAAUUCGACUAAGAUUCACCAUGGAUUUAGCUUGAACACCACCCAAAGAAGAAGGGAACAGAGCUUCGAGUUCCAAUGGCAGCAAUCAGGGACCACUCUUGAAGAUGACAAUGUCAAGGAAAAGUGGAAAAUGAUGUGUAUAGUUGUCUUUAAACUUAUCUAUAUUAGACAAAAAGGAGUCUUUUCAGCUCCCUUGUCUUGUGGAUCAGCUCUUGGAUCCGAUUGUGUGUAAUUUUAAGCAUUUAGGCCCUUUUAAAUAAAAAGACCUUAAAGGCC
rnacentral:lncRNA from 1 species